rnacentral:rRNA from 1 species
UACGUAGGGGGCAAGCGUUGUCCGGAUUUAUUGGGCGUAAAGAGCGUGUAGGCGGCCUUACAGGUCAGCUGUGAAAACUCGAGGCUCAACCUCCAGCUGUCGAUGGAAACCAUCUGGCUAGAGUCCGGAAGAGGAGGAGUGGAAUUCCUGGUGUAGCGGUGAAAUGCGCAGAUAUCGGGAGGAACACCGGUGGCGAAGGCGGUUCUCUAGGCCUGACCUGACGCUGAGGUGCGAAAGCGUGGGGAGCAAACAGG